rnacentral:rRNA from 1 species
UACGGAGGGUGCAAGCGUUAUCCGGAUUCACUGGGUUUAAAGGGUGCGUAGGUGGGUUGGUAAGUCAGUGGUGAAAUCCCCGAGCUUAACUUGGGAACUGCCAUUGAUACUAUCAGUCUUGAAUACUGUGGAGGUCAGCGGAAUAUGUCAUGUAGCGGUGAAAUGCUUAGAUAUGACAUAGAACACCAAUUGCGAAGGCAGCUGGCUACACGAAUAUUGACACUGAGGCACGAAAGCGUGGGGAUCAAACAGG